rnacentral:rRNA from 1 species
CCUACGGGUGGCAGCAGUGAGGAAUAUUGGUCAAUGGCCGAGAGGCUGAACCAGCCAAGUCGCGUGAGGGAAGACGGCCCUACGGGUUGUAAACCUCUUUUGUCGGGGAGCAAAGCGAGUCACGUGUGACUCAUUGAGAGUACCCGAAGAAAAAGCAUCGGCUAACUCCGUGCCAGCAGCCGCGGUAAUACGGAGGAUGCGCGCGUUAUCCGGAUUUAUUGGGUUUAAAGGGUGCGAAGGCGGAGGUGCAAGUCAGCGGUAAAAUUGCGGGGCUCAACCCCGUACUGCCGUUGACACUGGAUGCCUUGAGUGCGCGAGAGGUAUGCGGAAUUCGUGGUGUAGCGGUGAAAUGCAUAGAUAUCACGCAGAACUCCGAUUGCGAAGGCAGCAUACCGGCGCGCAACUGACGCUGAUGCACGAAAGCGUGGGUAUCGAACAGGAUUAGAUACCCUUGUAGUC